UACGUAGGCAGCGAGCGUUGUUCGGAGUUACUGGGCGUAAAGGGUGUGUAGGCGGUUCUCUAAGUUUGGUGUGAAAUCUCCCGGCUCAACCGGGAGGGUGCGCCGAAAACUGGGGGACUCGAGUGCGGGAUGGGAGAGUAGAAUUCCUGGUGUAGCGGUGAAAUGCGUAGAUAUCGUGAGGAAGACCUGUGGCGAAGGCGGGUUUCUGGACAGUACCUGACGCUGAGGCACGAAGGCCAGGGGAGGCAAACGGG
rnacentral:rRNA from 1 species